rnacentral:tRNA from 1 species
GCGGGGGUGCCCGAGCGGUCAAGGGGGCGGACUCAAGACCCGUUAAGAGAUCCGCUGGCGUAGGCCAUCCGGGGUUCGAAUCCCCGUCCCCGCA